AAAAGAAGAAAUUGAAUAUCUUAGAAUUAUUUCCCCUGCAAAGUCACCUGGCCUCACCAAGGCUAGUAAGCAUUUAAUACUGGACAUAUAAAACCUAUCCCCCACCCCAAACCUCAUUACCAGUAUUUGGUAGUACCCCUCCCUACGCUGUGCCUCUCGUGGGCUCUCUAGACUAGUUGGGGAUACUCAAGGGAGGGCAGAGGCUCCAUGAUCCCGACAGAGACUCUCAUAAUCCUAGGCAAACUUCAGGGAUUUGCCUCCUGCCACACGGUAGGCACCUUCUAAGCUCACAGCCAAGUUACCCAGCCGAUAUUUCAGCGGAGACCUGGCUGCAAACUGGAGUGCUUGAAGGUGGUACAAGUACAGGUCAAUGACAGAGCCCGAGAGCAUCUUCUCUGUACCGCACAGAUACAUCUGUUUGGAUAUCCACUCUAGUAAUUCUUAACUGACUAGAUCGCUUUCGCUGUCAAGAUUAGAGCAAAGUAUUUUAUGUGACAUCUGCUUCUGCUAAAUCAGAAUCUCAUUUCCUCCUGAGCUGUCACACGGAGCAUGGGAUACACAAUGCUGGCUGUGCACACGGAAUUGAGAAAGUCACCUUCUCAGAUAAAGGAAUCCUAGCUUCCUUAAUCUAACAAGCCUCUACUCUUCCCACUCAAUAGACCUAUUGAAAACAUGAUGACCUCAACAGCUAACAUCAAAGACUGCGUGAAUUAUGUCUAAGGGCUUCAGGGUGUGAGCCGAGAGAGACCUUAGCCCUCUCUUGCUAAUGGUUAUUACCAAGCAUGGUCAUGGGUGCUAAGGAAGGCAGAGCUAUGAACAGUGUGCCUGUCUUCUCAUCCCUUUAGGACAAAGGAAACAGCAAAUAGAACCAGGGCUCAAGCUUCCUCAGUACUAGGCUCUAACUUGGCCCACUGCUUCCUGUUGCAGAGGACAUUUCUCUACAGACCGUGCUACCAACACUUCUUGAUACUGAUGUGGCUGGGAGAGAGCUAGAGUCGAUACCACACAUGAGGCUAUGCUGCAACUCCCACCUUGGUUUGAAUUUACUAAGUGACAACUAACUCUGAAAAAGUGGGAGAUCUAGAAAGUUACAAUCCAAACCCCAUCGAAAGAUGAACAAACUCUGGAGACUGAAUUAUGGCAUGGUGACUGGUUAACAAUAGUGCAGUCCAAAAACAGCUGGAAGGUCCAGGGGGAGGGUUUCCUACCACAUUAAGCCAGAUACUAGGACAGGAAGCAAAGAGACGGUGACACAUGGUGCAUAAAACCAACCUUAAGCUGACCCAGUGGAGGUUUGCACCUUAGGAGUAUGCACUUUUUCAGAACAAGGCAAGCACUUGAGCACCCCAUACCUUCCAGGAUGGACAGCAAUUGCAAGGGUAGAGGGCUGAGAGUGCAGCCUAGAUAACAAGCAUAGGGUCUGCACAUUACAUCCAAUAUGGGGACAGAGAUGUUUGCUAACAGUGAUGGCGAAGUGAGAAAAAUCAAGGCGCUGUGGUCACAGGUCACUGAAAUGUGGUGGUUUGAAUAAACAGGUCCCCAAGACUCAUAUAUGUGAAUGUUUUGUCAUUACAAAGUGUCACUAUUUGAUAAGGAUUAGGAGGUAUGGCCUUGUUGGAGGAAGUAGGUCUCUGGGAUUGGGAUGGGGACUUGAGAUUUCAAGAGUGAAAGCCAAGCCCAGUGGCUCACUUCCUGCUGUCUGAGGAUCUGAACAUAGAACUCUCAGCCACUUCUCCAGCACGGUGUCUGCCUGGGUGCUGCCAUUUUACUACCAUGACAAUGGACUAAACCUCUGGAACUUAAAUCUCUGAAACUAUCAACAAGCCUCUAAUUAAAUGUGUCUUUGACAAGAGUGGCCUUGGUCAUGGUGUCUCUUCAUGGCAAUAGAACACUAAGGAACCAAGCUGUCAAUAUACCAAGUCUCUGCAGGGCCCCAGAAGGCAACUUGAUCCUUCAAAUGCACAGACGUGGAAACUUCAGGUAGCAUCUCCUCUUACUAGCCUGGCCCCAGGCCAGAAGCAGGUAGACAAGAGGAAUCCCAGCCCUGCUGAAAGGCACAGUGAACUCUGGAAAUCAGAGAUAGGAGUCAAGCAGCAACAUCUGGGGGUGGUUCAGGCUCCAGGGCAAGGACUAGAGUAGAGCUCUGAGAACCACAAUAACUCACCACACUCCAACACUCAAGGGGGUGCGUAGGAACAUCAGGCAACAGAAAGUAAAAUUUGAUUCCUGGGCCUUAAAAUACUGCUCACUUAGAGAGAAGAGGGUGCAAAAAGGCGGGCGGGAGGGAGGAAGAUGGAAAGGGAGAGGGAAGGAGAGGAAGGGAAGGGGAGAGAGAGGUGAGGAGGGAACAUAAUAUAACUGAUAUGACACAUGACCUUGAAUCCUCUUCACUCAAUUCAAAAAACACAGGGAAAGCAUGCACCAUAGGACAGGCAGCCUCUGAGAGCUUCAUUCUGUGUGAUUUUAAAUGAUGACAUUUUAAAAAUGGUCCUUAUAAAGACUACAAAUCCCAUGGCCCACCUCCUCAAUGUACAAAUGUUGUGUGUGAAAUGAGACGGAGGGGUUGACUCCCACCCAGCAGCACGGCUGUUUAUUUCUGCAUCCUGGAGACCCAGCGCUCCUUCCCGGCUUACAAACCAUGUGGAGCAACAUGGACUUGCAGCAAGGCAAAGAAAUGCAUCCUGGUCCGUCACCGUUUAGUUCUGCACACUUUUAGGACACAGAAUGCAUGUUGUGCACAUACAUGUUCAGCAUUAUUACUAGGGAACAUCGAUGUGACCAGGAAGCAAAGGAUGCACCUAGGGAUCCUCCUAGCAAGUGCCUGACCUUCUGUGGACAAGCUGUUACCCAUCCAUCCUUUCUGAAUAAUUUCCUUAACUUGUCUUAAUAAUCAGACCACAAACAUGGGACUCUCUUGACCACAGAGUCCAUAUUUGCCUGGAGUUGAGCUCCAUGGGAAUGUGGUUUUUUCCCCUGUGGUUUGCCUGUUCACACUGAGGUUUAUUUAUACUUUACUGCUGAUAGAGUUCAUUCUUUUAGCUCCUGUGCACUUGGCUUUUAUAUGAAUGUGACUGUAACAUACUCGUUAAUUCGUAUUUCUCAUUUUUGUGUGCAUAAUUCUCACAGUUUUGUGUGUGCAUGUGCGUGUACAAGUUCAGUUGUGUGCACCAAGGUGUCUUCCUUAACUCUUACCCUUUAGCUUAUUUUUUUCAGACAAGAUAUCACUGAACCUGAAAGUCACAGAUUCAGCUAGAUUUGCUGGCUAGCAAGCUCCAGCAAUCCUCCUGCCUCUGGUUCCCGAGAGCUGGGACUACAGGUGUUCACCAGCAUUCGUGGCUCAUUCUGUGGAUGCUGGGGACUUAGGUCCUCAUGGUAAUUCAUGAGCCAUCUCUUGGCCCCUCUAACUCUCAAGGCCUAAUGUGGUUUUGUAUCCUGAAAAUGUUCACUCCAGUCAGUUAUGCUUCAUGGAUGGAGAAUCUAAGUGCAGGUACCAUUAAGGAAGGAAGCUAUGAUAUCCAGUCUUGGUUUUCAUCUUCCUACAUCUGGAAUUGACUAAAACCUAAGCAGCUGCACACAGAUGUUUAGGAUUUUCUUGACUGGAUCAUUUGAAGUGAGAAAAGUCACCCUCGAUCUGGGUACAUCUUUCUGGUGGCAGACCAUGUAUAAGGACGCGGAAGGAGGCAGCCUUUUUGUGUUAGCUGCUUGCCCUCAUUCUUGCUGACAAGCCCAUCCUUUCUGCUGCUGGCCCAUUACUUCACCGGGAUUAGCAAUGACAUCUUUGGAAGUCCACCACAGACUGAAUCACUCUGAGACAUUCAUCUGCCUGGACUGAAGAAUUACAAGGUUCUUGGCCUUUCCACUGGGAGACAGUCAUCGUCAGACUCACUACCCCACAGCCUUGUUCAGCCUCCGACUUAAUCGUGACCAAAUCAAAGCUGGACAGAGAGGCUAGCACUGACCGAGUUUCGCCACCAUUACUUAUGUAAGUAGCAUGUUCUUGCAAGAAAAAAAAUUAAAGUGUGAAGAUAAUUCUACUCAUGAAUGACAGUCCCUACUCGACAAGGGUUUUAAGCAGUUGACCAUUUUCAUAGAUUAGUCACAUGCCUAGACAGGUCUGUAUGCACCCAGUUCUCAGAUCAUGAUUUAUAUUCGUAGGGAAAAAAAAGAAUUCAUCUAUGUUUUAUCCUUUUUGCAAUCUUGGGAGCAAAUCCCUCACUAAUACGUGUUCUGUGGGUUAGAGAAACCAAACUCUCCUUCCCUCAGGGGUCAGUCAUAACUGACAUCUAUCCUGGCUACGACCCCUAUCCCCAGUGCCAUGUUUGCAGAAUCCUCUGUGACCUUCCCUGUGAGUGGUUACUGAAAUCUUCAGGUCUCUCAAGCGUGUGCAGGUUAAGCUCAGUAACAGCAUUAGAACGGAUAUGCCUGCUCUAGCUUCUUUAGAGCAUCUAAGCUAUUGAAGAACACUGCUCUUCCCUCAGGAAAGGCCUUCUCCUAAUAACACAUUCAUGUUGGAAAUUCUUAAUCCUCACCUGCAGAGUAGAGUUGGGGGAAAAUAUAAUCAGGAUAUAUUUUCAAUAAAAGGAAAAGGAAAAGGGAGUCAUCUCAUAUGAACACGAUGUGG
rnacentral:sRNA from 1 species